rnacentral:lncRNA from 1 species
CGCCAGCUCCCAGCAUGGGGCCUUCCACAGCACCAGCUGACAGCUGAUCCUCUGGGAGGCGUGAAGAUGGAGUUGGCAGCUGAGGAGCUGUGAGGGUGCCGAGCCAGGCGCCGGGUGGAGCUGCUCCACAUUCAGGAUGGGAGAUGGCGGCUUCCAGGAAGGCAGAGGAGCCUCUCAGAGGGCAGGAAGAGGAAGAGGAGGCAGAGCUUCCGGGCAGAACUGUGGGGUCAGGGUGUCAGUUAUCCCCAGGAGGGGACCAAGGUCUCCUUCUUGGUGAACUCAGCUGAAGACAUCCAAGAUGAUGAGAGUCUCCCCAAGAUAUAGGAGAAGAGAUGUAAGAAGGGCUUUGAGAGACCAGGAGUCUGAGCAACAUGGUGGAAACUGAUAGGCUUGAAGAUGAGACAUAGCCAGUGAACAUUACCAGGAAUGGCUGAGGCUCAAGAGUGUGGGUUUGAUUUUAAGUCAUGUGCUGGCCUGUGUAACCACUCUCAUUACCCUCAAACCUCCAGUGAAACUCACUCAUCUGGGACAGCGUUGUGCUCCUGGGAGCUUUGGGGAAUCAGAGAGGCUGCAGAGUUUUCUGGGUUAGCUCAGGGGAGAGAGAAUCAGAUAGACAGAUGUAUUUCUAACACAUACAAAUACGUUCUAACAGGAGAACUUAUACCUUCUUCACUUGCCAGGGAGAAGCCCAAAGGAGUGGCUAUGCCCCAGACUAGAGAAGCCAGAGGUGGCUUCCCAGUGGUCCAAGUUGGGGCUAAAAAUGUUAGUGUGUACUUUAAUUUCCUGGGGCUGUCUUAAUAAACUGCCCCAAACUAGGUGGCUUACAAGAGAUAUUUAGUCUGUCACCACUCUGGAAACAAGAAAUCUGAAGUCAAGGUGUCAGCAGGACUGUGCUCCCUCCGAAAGCUCUAGGAGAUGAGAGGCCUCUCCCGGCCCCCGGUGGCUGUUGACCUUCUUUAUGAUUGCAUCACCCCAAUCUCCACCUUCCUCUUCACGUGGCCUUCUCCCCUCCUUUGUGUGUCUGUGUCUUCUUCUGUCUCUUAUAAAGACAUUGAUCAGAUUUUGAGUCUGUCCAGGGCAAUCCAAUAUGAUCAAUCUCAUCUUAAGAUCUGUAACUUAAUGAUGUGUAAAAAGACCCUUUUUCCAAAUAAGGUCACGUUCACAAGUUCUGGGGGGCAGGAUGUGGACAUUUCUUUUUAGAGACCACCAUUCAACCCACACAUUGGGGGUCUGCCAGGCAAAGAGAAGCAGGAUGUGAGCUCCCAUGAUAGAACCCCCAGCAGACAAUGAGAAGGGCCAUGUGAGAGAGGAUGCUGGGCAGAGAGGAGCUUGCCUGGUCUGGGCAGAGACAACAUAGAGGCAACAACCUGAAGUGUCAGGACUCAGAGAAGACACUGGGUGUUGGCACCAAGGUCCACAGGGAACCCCAGGCCAGACCAGUUAUGAGAGGUAGGCAUUGGGGAGGGCUGCAACUUGGUGGGCACAUGAGUGCUCGGGGUAUGUCUUUGGACACUGAGGUUGCCAGUUUAAUUCUAGACUCCUUUCCUUCCCCAACACCUGGAAUGGGAUUGGACCUCUGCUUUCGUGACAGUCCUGACUGUCUCCCUGGCACUGAGCCUUGAUGUCUAACUAAUACCAUGGAAGCUUGGUGGCUUUGACCCACCCUGCCCCAGGCAGCCCUCCAAGCAUCCACAGAGCUCUCCCCUCCUCAGCAUCUACCAGGCACCUGCUCCACAGGUGUCCACAUCCCAAACAGUUUUUUCCAGCCA